CUCUGGUCUCAAAUCAGGUAGGGCUACCCGCUGAACUUAAGCAUAUCAAUAAGCGGAGGAAAAGAAACUAACAAGGAUUCCCUUAGUAACGGCGAGUGAACCGGGAAGAGCUCAAAUUUGUAAUCUGGCUGUCUUCGAUAGUCCGAGUUGUAAUCUAUAGACGUGUUUUCCGUGCUGGACCGUAUCUAAGUCCCUUGGAACAGGGUAUCAAAGAGGGUGAUAAUCCCGUGCUUGAUACGACCACCAGUGCUCUGUGAUACACGCUCUACGAGUCGAGUUGUUUGGGAAAUGCA
rnacentral:rRNA from 1 species